rnacentral:rRNA from 1 species
AGAGAAGCGAAGCGGUGACGUGGAGCAAACCUCAGAAAGCCAAUCUCAGUUCGGAUUGUAGGCUGCAACUCGCCUACAUGAAGUUGGAAUCGCUAGUAAUCGCGAAUCAGAAUGUCGCGGUGAAUACGUUCCCGGGUCUUGUACACACCGCCCGUCACACCAUGGGAGUCGGAAAUGCCCGAAGUCAGUGACCCAACCGUAAGGAGGGAGCUGCCGAAGGUGGAGCCGGUAACUGGGGUGAAGUCGUAACAAGGUAUC